UAUCCUCUCGAGCACCUGCUCGGUAUUAGGUUAGGCCGCCGUGGCCGGCCCUAAAGUCAGUCGCGGCGCCACUGUGACCCUGAGCGUAGUAUACAUAUCCUGCCGCUCUAGUGUCUGGUGGUCGCAUGCUAGAAGCCUUAUAGCU
rnacentral:misc_RNA from 1 species